AGAGUUUGAUCCUGGCUCAGAACGUACGCUGGCGGCACGCCUAACACAUGCAAGUCGAACGCAGUAGCAAUACUGAGUGGCAAACGGGUGAGUAUAAUGUGGGAAUCUGCCUUUUGGUCUGGAAUAACACGAGGAAACAUGUGCUAAUACCGGAUAAGCCUUCACAGGGAAAGUUUUAAUGCCAAAAGAUGAGCCCGCACUUGAUUAGCUAGUUGGUAAGGUAAUAGCUUACCAAGGCUACGAUCAAUAGCUGUUCUUAGAGGAAGACCAGCCACAUUGGGACUGAGACACGGCCCAAACUCCUACGGGAGGCAGCAGUGGGGAAUCUUGCACAAUGGGGGAAACCCUGAUGCAGCGAUGCCGCGUGAGUGAAGAAGGCCUUUGGGUUGUAAAACUCUUUCGUCGGGGAAGAAAAUGACUGUACCCGAAUAAGAAGGUCCGGCUAACUUCGUGCCAGCAGCCGCGGUAAUACGAAGGGACCUAGCGUAGUUCGGAAUUACUGGGCUUAAAGAGUUCGUAGGUGGUUAAAAAAGUUGAUGGUGAAAUCCCAAGGCUCAACCUUGGAACUGCCAUCAAAACUUUUUAGCUAGAGUAUGAUAGAGGAAAGUGGAAUUUCUAGUGUAGAGGUGAAAUUCGUAGAUAUUAGAAAGAACAUCAAAAGCGAAGGCAACUUUCUGGAUCAUUACUGACACUGAGGAACGAAAGCAUGGGUAGCGAAGAGGAUUAGAUACCCUCGUAGUCCAUGCCGUAAACGAUGUGUGCUAGACGUUGGAAA
rnacentral:rRNA from 1 species